GAUGAACGCUGGCGGCGUGCCUAAUACAUGCAAGUCGAGCGAACAGACGAGGAGCUUGCUCCUCUGACGUUAGCGGCGGACGGGUGAGUAACACGUGGAUAACCUACCUAUAAGACUGGGAUAACUUCGGGAAACCGGAGCUAAUACCGGAUAAUAUAUUGAACCGCAUGGUUCAAUAGUGAAAGACGGUUUUGCUGUCACUUAUAGAUGGAUCCGCGCCGCAUUAGCUAGUUGGUAAGGUAACGGCUUACCAAGGCAACGAUGCGUAGCCGACCUGAGAGGUGGAUCGGCCACACUGGAACGGAGACACGUUCCAGACUCCUACGGGAGGCAGCAGUAGGGAAUCUUCCGCAAGGGGCGAAAGCCUGACGGAGCAACGCGGCGUGAGUGAUGAAGGUCUUCGGAUCGUAAAACUCUGUUAUUAGGAAAGAACAAAUGUGUAAGUAACUAUGCACGUCUUGACGGUACCUAAUCAGAAAGCCACGGCUAACUACGU
rnacentral:rRNA from 1 species